rfam:Schistosoma mansoni, Puerto Rico, WGS project CABG01000000 data, contig: 0125
AUCCAGCUGACAAGUCUCAAAUAGCACGAAGUGCGCAUCCUGGAU